rnacentral:lncRNA from 1 species
CCGCCGCCUCAGCUUCCCGAGCGAGCCCUGCGGCCGCCGGAGCAGCUCCCGCGGCGGAGCAGGAGCCGGAUGGUCAGAGGAGCCCGGCAGCCCCAGCAGCCGCGGAGUCGCCUGGCCCCCAGACUGACUGGCACAGUGGAGAAACCGCCUCGAAAACGGAGAAGCAGGUAAGGCAGUGCCUUCCUAUUUUGCUUCAUGUUUUUCUUUUUGCUUGGCUGCACCUGUGCCGUACUGCAUAAUUGUAUACUGUCAGUAGAUGAAGUUUCUUAUUUAUCCCCCUUUUAAAAGAAUAUAACCACAUGCAUGAUUUUUCUUUUGAGGACUUCAAAUUACUACCUCUACAGUCGAUUUUUUUUUUCUUGGUAUCUAAGAUAAUGUGGGAAAUCUUGAGAAAUCCUACUUUUUUACUUUUUGAUGUUGUGUAAGGAUCUCAGCUAUUUUUUUUUUUAACCUUAGCCAUAAUUUCAUUUUCUCCAGCAUCUCUGUUUAAAAAGCUCAUCUUGGCUGGGGUGGCUCAUGCCUUCAAUCCCAGCUCUUUGGGAGGCU